GCCGUUUUCUUGUGAUAUAUUCAUCAUGGUAAGUCAUAUCAAAAUUAUACAGUAAUGUGUCACACCAUACAUACAUUACAGACUCAUACAUACGCUGCGUUUCUGGAGCAGUUUUACGAGUUUAAAACCAAUCAUUCUGUUUUAAUCCCAUAAUGUCCAAAUCCACUGUAAAAUUUUAAGACCAUUAACACCAAUACAACAUGAACAGGUUAAUUUUAAAACUAAACACGCGUUAUGGUUUGAAAUUGACAACUGCCAAAAGGUUUAAUAAUCUCACAAUUAGUAGGUUAAUUUGCAUAAAAAAUAAUUUGUCUGAACAUAACUGCGACAGAGAAGAAAAAGAGACCACCGCAAUAAAAUCAACAAACGGUUUCAAACAUUUAUUAGCUGGGAGUGCAUUUCUUGGGUUGUGCACAUUUUGCUGUCAGGGUUUUAUAAGGAGUAAAAGUGAUAAAGAAGUUUGGCCUAAUAAAGUGAAAGAUUACUUAACUUUAAUCACGUUGUACGACCAAAUAUCCUUGGCUGUGGCAGUGGUAUCUGGUUUGAUAUCAGUACGACAUCCUCCACUUUUAAGGUGUACGUACAACCAUGUCUACUUAACUUCAGCUAUUGGAAUUGGUUUAAUUGGUGGUACAGGUCUUCUAAUCCGCCAAAUGCCUUACGAAAAGGAUUUUAGUUCGAAGCACGCAGCUUGGUUAAUCCAUGAGGUUCUUUUAGGAGGAUUUGGAGGAAAUAUGCUGUUCACUGCAGGCCCACUCCUACUCAGGUUGGUGCUAUAUUUUGCAGGAGCAGUGACGGCAUUAAAUCUUGUUGUUUUGUCAUCAUCCAAUGAAGAAUUUCUUAAAGUUCGGGGACCAAUUUCCGAAUUCUUGGGAGUUGUUAUUUGUGCUUGCUACAGCCACUGGUUUUUGCCUGCAACAAAUGUGUAUUAUUCAAAAAUGCAAUCUCCCCUGUUGUCGAUUUCUUUGUACGGUUGUUUAAUAUACGGUUGUGUUUUGUUGUGGUUCGAUGUGGUAAAAAGGAUUUUUAUCUCCGAAUGUUAUUCGCAAUCGAAAACAUCUGAUAGGAAACCUCUGGAUCCUAUCAACAUAACUAUUGCGACAAAAACGUUUGCGUUUAUGGGAAGUUUGGUUGCGGAUAAUGAUUGUGGUCGUACUUUAUAAAUUGACUGAACACUCGUAUUCUAAUAAUAUAUUUGUGCCAAGCGUAACCGAAAUAGUACAAUAGUGCAAUAAAAUAUUUAUCAAAACUGCGGAAUAAUUAUUUAUUCAUAUAUAACAGUAUAUAUAUAUAUAUACGUAGUAGUCCAUUUUAGAAGAAUGUUGUAUAAAGUACAAGUAAAAUCAUAUAUUUAGUUCUCACGCAUAUGCUUCGGUGAUCUUGGCAUUUAAGUUGCUGACGGAGAAAGUAACCACAACUUCAUUUACUGCAUUGCACUGGAAUUGCUCUUGUUAAGUAAUGGUGAUUACUAUGCAAACAAAGCACACAUUUGAAUUGAGAAUCAAAUUACCGAUCGAUUGUUGUGUAUGUGGAAAACAAAGAGUGGUUUGAUGGCAAAGAAUUUGAGGUCAUAAAGUGGCCAGCUUGUUCGCCAGACCUCAACCCUAUCGAAAAUCUCUGGAAAUUAAUGAAAGAUAUCCUUGAGAAAGAGCCUGAACGCUCGAUUGACAAUUGGAUGUCCAAAAUCGAGACCAUUUGGAACGAUUUGGUCCCUAAAUAUUAGGAGUCUUUAAUCGGGAGUAUGAAUUCCCGAUUGGAUUCGUGUAUUGCUGCCAACGGUGAUAAAACUAAAUAUUGAUCUAAUUGUAAUCCUAAUGUAUAUUUAUCAGUCGAUUAUGUGCAAUGAGAAAAAUUUUUUCUAAAUUCAAAGAUUGUUAAAAACCAAUUGAAACAAUUAUCAGUAAAUAUGCUCUCAAGUUUAGACAAAGUUUUCAAGACGAUUUUUAUUUUUAAAUGUAAAAAUGUUUUCUAAUACCAUCAUACUUAUCUAUUUUAAUCUAGACUAGCCUUUUGUCAAAAUUUAUUGUAUGUAAAUACAUAUAAUAAUUCUUCUUCCUGAUAACACAAAUCGGGACAAUACCCUACCGGAAAUGUUAGAUUUUAUAAUACAGCUGUGCCCUUGUUGGCAGCUGCUACCCCUUUAAUUUUUCUGUGACAACAUUAUACAUAAGUAUUUCUGUCAACUUAAAAUGGUAAAAUGUAUCAUAAGUAGACAUGUCGCGUUAAAUAUUUUUCUAAAACGUGCAUUUAAAAUUUCCUUUUUAAUUUGUUUUCCAUUAUGAAUAAAUAAAUGAAAAAUAUAUGGGCAAAAACCUAAGCUUUUAAAACCUAUUGCUCGAUUUAACCAUUAUAAUGAGCAAUUUUUUACAGUAAAUUAUCAGGUGUCAGGGAUUAAAAUUUACUCAAAACAUACUGAAAAUUGCCGAACCAUAAUCGUUAUUAUUGUUUGUUACUAGGAGCAUGAUAUGCAAAAUUUUAAUUAAAAGGGCUUGAAGCCUUGAAAUCUCACACCACACUGAUGAUAGAUUACGGUUUGAAUAGAAUUUAAAAGUACAUGUAAAAGAUGACGCUAGCUUUCCAUUUAAUUAAUGCAAGGCGUGAUAACACACAAACUACAAAUCAGUAAUUUUUAAGCAUUGCUUUCUUAGUAACAACCUUUGAGGAAUAUUUUGUAAUAAUUAUGUAGAUUGAAUAUAAUACGAGUCACGCAAAUACACACCCUAUCUAUUAUGUUUUAAAGAAUCAAGUUCGAAAAACGAAUGGAAACAAAUACCUUACAUGUUAUAACUACAUAAUGUGCAAUUUAUAUUCAUUCUUACAGAAGCAAAUUCUAACUGCGAAACACCUUAGAGUGACCAGGCAAAGAUUAUAAAAGCAUCAUUAUUAGAUUCAUUUGUAUAUUGAUUUUUAAGCAUUAUUAUAAUCAGAAAAAAUGAUGAUUAUUUUCACAUUUUACUUCUUCAUUAUUAUUUUUAUUUCUUUUAAAAGGUGGUUAAUUGGUAAACAAAAACUUCCAAAAAUAUUUAAUCAUGCUCAAGUAUGAUUUCAAAGUAUAUUAUACUCUUGAAAAAUACUAAAGAAGUUGAAAAAAU